AGGCAGGUCAUAACGCACCCAAUGCUCCGUCCCCCUCCACCAAGACCAGGGACCGGGGAUCCAGGGUGCCACCAACACCCCUUCUCUCCCUUCUGCAGGAAGGUUGCCUCUGUCUGCGGCGCCUCGUCAGAUUUUUUAUGCUUCGAGGAUUAAGCCUCCGAGGUGACACUUGCAAUGUAGCUGAAUCAGAAAAACAACAGCAACGCCACCGACAGCAGCCAACAAGGGAACUGGGAACUGAAAGGAAAAUUGUCUUCUUUGUAUCCAAUGCCGAGCAGGUUUCUUUCAUACUCCAUAUUUACUCGGAUCGAUCUUCAGAAUGCGCAGCCGCCUGAACCGUGAGCCCCUCCAAGGCUGGGUGUAAACCCGGCGACCUCCCCUAAUUCUCGACCUCGGAUCCACACACUGCCAGAGACACACGGAGCAGUGUGGCGGCCGCCCCCCUCCCACGGCCUUCUGCGGCAUUGUUACGACUUGAUGCCUUGGCAAUAAAUGACGUGCCCGCUCAACCCCCUCCCCAGUCAGCCUUCUUUCUGCUCCAGGAACAGAGACGAGUGGCUGUGGAUGGAAACUAAUGACCUACAAACCUGGCCCUUGUGGCCACCGGCCUUUACAGCUUCAUUGCUGAAAACGUUUGCCGACUCCCGAUUUUUCUAGGCGACGAUGGCCUGAUGGCUGAACCUGGACCUGUGGCACUGUUGCAUUUUUGUCCCAGUUUACGUUUUUGGCCCCUGCCCCACCCCCACACCAGUUUCCCAUUUGACUCGCUGCCGAGAUUCUCCAGUGGAGUCUUGUCUUACUCAUCUUGGUGGUAUGUGAUCAGUUGCCCAAGAACGAUGGUUGGGAAAAGAAAUGAGCGCCCCCGAUCCCCACCAUGAUCUCCGAGCACUGUGGCUCUGGGGAGGGUCUGGAAGCAGAGGUCCUCAUACUAGUGAGCAGGUGCGUCAGGAGUCUGCGAAACGCCAUGUGAGUCAGAACCCUCCAGCUGUAGAGUGUGGAAGAGUGGUCUCUCAGGCAGGGGUACUUUCACAUUAGCCAAGGGGGACGGAGGGUCUGGCUUACACCUGUUAAUGCUUUCUCCCUGCAAGUUCAGGAGCCUUUGCCAAUCUCGUCAAACCCAGCCUUCAGCUUCUCGGCCUUGAAGGCUCCCAGUCUUGCAGGUGGUCUGGCUUCCGGCACAGAUGAGGCCGUGCAUCGAAAUCCCCUUUGGUGUUCUCUACCUCCUUUCCGAGCUCAAGAAAAUGAGCACUAACGCCAUCGCUAUUUAUGUUUUGCAAUGCUAAUGCCACAGUAUGUCAUACACAGUGUGAAACAAACGCAUUUACCUGUGAGAAUGCAUUCGCUUAAUUUCGAUGCUAAAUACGAAAUGAAUAAUGUGAUAAACAC